rnacentral:rRNA from 1 species
AACGAACGCUGGCGGCAGGCUUAACACAUGCAAGUCGAGCGAGAUCUUCGGAUCUAGCGGCGGACGGGUGAGUAACGCGUGGGAACGUGCCCUUUUCUACGGAAUAGCCUCGGGAAACUGAGAGUAAUACCGUAUACGCCCAGUAAUGGGGAAAGAUUUAUCGGAGAAGGAUCGGCCCGCGUUAGAUUAGGUAGUUGGUGGGGUAAUGGCCUACCAAGCCGACGAUCUAUAGAUGGUUUGAGAGGAUGAUCAGCCACACUGGGACUGAGACACGGCCCAGACUCCUACGCGAGCCAGCAGUGGGGGUUCUUAGACAAUGGGGGCAACCCUGAUCUAGCCAUGCCCAGUGAGUGAUGAAGGCCUUAGGGUUGUAAAGCUCUUUCAGCUGGGAAGAUAAUGACGGUACCAGCAGAAGAAGCCCCGGCUAACUCCGUGCCAGCCGCCGCGGUAA